UACUCCUGUAGUCCCAGCUACUCGGGAGGCUGAGGCAGGAGGAUCACUCAGCCUCCCCAUUAGCUGGGAUUACAUGCAUA
rnacentral:pre_miRNA from 1 species